UGGUGGGUAGUUUGACUGGGGCGGUCUCCUCCUAAAGAGUAACGGAGGAGCACGAAGGUCAGCUAAUCCUGGUCGGACAUCAGGAGGUUAGUGCAAUGGCAUAAGCUGGCUUGACUGCGAGCGUGACGGCGCGAGCAGGUGCGAAAGCAGGUCAUAGUGAUCCGGUGGUUCUGAAUGGAAGGGCCAUCGCUCAACGGAUAAAAGGUACUCCGGGGAUAACAGGCUGAUACCGCCCAAGAGUUCAUAUCGACGGCGGUGUUUGGCACCUCGAUGUCGGCUCAUCACAUCCUGGGGCUGAAGUAGGUCCCAAGGGUAUGGCUGUUCGCCAUUUAAAGUGGUACGCGAGCUGGGUUUAGAACGUCGUGAGACAGUUCGGUCCCUAUCUGCCGUGGGCGCUGGAGAAUUGAGGGGGGCUGCUCCUAGUACGAGAGGACCGGAGUGGACGCAUCACUGGUGUUCGGGUUGUCAUGCCAAUGGCAUUGCCCGGUAGCUAAAUGCGGAAGAGAUAAGUGCUGAAAGCAUCUAAGCACGAAACUUGCCCCGAGAUGAGUUCUCCCUGACCCUUUAAGGGUCCUGAAGGAACGUUGAAGACGACGACGUUGAUAGGCCGGGUGUGUAAGCGCAGCGAUGCGUUGAGCUAACCGGUACUAAUGAACCGUGAGGCUUAACCUU
rnacentral:rRNA from 1 species